rnacentral:ncRNA from 1 species
GUAAACACAAAGAAGAGAAGAAGUAGUAAGCGACGAUUUUUCAGAGAGACUGCGGGUGGUGAAAGCAGUCAAAUCAACCCUUACGAAAUGCAUCUCCGAGUGGUCUCAGCGAUAUGUAGCUGAGGACGGUUCACAGACGUUACCUGUUUCAAGGCAAUAACUAAUUGCAAACAAAAGUGGGACCACGUAAAAGCGUCUUUUGA